rnacentral:lncRNA from 1 species
UAAGAUGAUGAUGCAUAUUCUCAAGAGUUGAGAAUUUGAGCCAUGUAUCAUUGGUGAUUAAUUUCUAAAUGCUCCUGAUCAAUGGAUCAUCACGAGAACGGUGAUCAAUCCGAUCAGUGCACAGAUUGCUUUCCUUAUGGAUGGACGAGACUCGAGUCCACAGUGUAGGGACACUGAAGUGAGAGUGCAGGUGCUUGUUAGAGAAUAAGGGUACUGAGCAUGACCAAGACAAGAAGUCACU